rfam:Ovis aries breed Texel chromosome 1, whole genome shotgun sequence.
UCCCUGGUGGCUCAGACAGUAAAGAAUCUGCCUGAAAUGCAGGAGAUCCAGGUUCAACCCCUGGGCUGGGAA